GCUGGGCGUGGUGUUGCAUGCCUGUAAUCCCAGGAUCUUGGAAGGCUGAGGCAGGAGGAUCACCAGUUCAAAGCCAGAAUCAGCAAUGGCGAGGCAUUAAACAACUCAGUGAGACCCUGUCUCUA
rnacentral:sRNA from 1 species